rnacentral:rRNA from 1 species
AGGACGAACGCUGGCGGCGUGCCUAACACAUGCAAGUCGAACGGAGCCCGCAAGGGUUCAGUGGCGAACGGGUGCGUAACACGUGAGGAACUUGUCCAUCGGCGGGGGAUAGCCGGCCCAACGGCCGGGUAAUACCGCGUACGCCGUCCGGAGCGCAUGCUCUGGCCGGGAAAGCAGCAAUGCACCGAUGGAGAGCCUCGCGGCCUAUCAGCUAGUUGGUGGGGUAAUGGCCUACCAAGGCGACGACGGGUAGCUGGUCUGAGAGGAUGACCAGCCACAUUGGGACUGAGACACGGCCCAGACUCCUACGGAGGCAGCAGUGGGGAAUAUUGCGCAAUGGGCGAAAGCCUGACGCAGCGACGCCGCGUGUGGGAUGACGGCCUUCGGGUUGUAAACCACUGUCGCGAGGGACGAAGAUCUGACGGUACCUCGAAAGGAAGCACCGGCUAACUCUGUGCCAGCAGCCGC